AAGUAAGCCUGUGCUGUCAGCGACAAGACAUAAUCUUGUCUAAAGAAGCACUUUUUAGGGUAUCCUUACUUGGAGAAUCACGGAAAAAGAAUUGUUAUUACUAUACAUAAAAAGAUAUCUUACUACUAAUAGCUGAAAUGAAAUGUCAAGAAAGACACCAGUUCUGACAACUCUACCUGCUGAUUCUGGUAAGCAGUGACCGUUGUGAAGACAGUUUCUGGAAAGGAGAAGGCCUUCACUCCCUCCCCGGAUGGGACAGGCUUGAUGGGAGAAAGAUCAUCUCCACAGUCUUUACGGAUGACAUGCACUCGAGUUCUAUGCUUUCAAGACUGAGAGGGAUAGAGUGAAGAAAUAGACUCAUCCAAUGGGAUCUCCUACCGGCUGCUGGGAUUCCAUAUUCAGAUUAACAUGAGGAUUCUGCAUGACAUUACACUUGACACACUUAAGUCUGCACAAAACUGACACUAACACCCCGAUCUAUAGCUGAAGACGUUAAGGUCUACAGGAAGCGAGACGCCUCUGAAUCCUCAGGGCUGGACCUGGAAGCUGGGUUCCUUGGCCAUCAUCCCAGCAUGACGUCUGUGUGCCUGCAUCACCACUGGAACAGGCCCAGCAAAGGAAACACAAAGAAGGUUCUCGGCCUGUAGAGGCAUUGAGGUUAACCCCACCUGGCGCUGCAUUUACCACAUGACUCCGAAAAAUAACCGUCCUGGUCCUUUUCUCAAAUUAUUCUAUAUUUUUACCUUAACAUGCUCUUUAAAUAUGAACAUAAAACAGCAAAUGACCAAUUAUUUAAUAAAAACUGUUAA